AGAAUCUCUUUGAUUUAUCUAUAAGCAAGUUUUCAUCAUCGAUAUACACCUGAGAAAUAUGAGUUGCAGCAGUUUAGCAGCAUCCAGCACUAGAAGGCUAGAAGGCAAGGUAGCGUUGAUAACUGGCGGAGCCAGUGGAAUGGGAGAGUCCACCACUAGGUUAUUUCUCCAACAUGGAGCCAAGGUACUGAUCACAGUUCGACGAGAUGAUGUUGGCCGCUGCUUCUGCCAAGAAUUCAACUCCCCAGAAAGCAUCUCUUACGUCCUCUGCGACGUUACUUGUGAAUCAGAUGUCAAAAACGCAGUGGAUACAGCUAUCUCCAGAUAUGGAAAGCUCGAUAUCAUGUUCAACAAUGCAGGAGUUGGGGGAGAAGGAGAACCUGGAAUCUUGGCUUGUACUGAUGAAAGCUUUAAGAAAUUGUUUGAUGUGAAUGUGUUUGGUGCCUUCUUGGGUGCUAAACAUGCCGCCAGGGUGAUGAUCCCGGCCAACAAAGGGUGCAUCCUAUUCAAUUCAAGUGUAUCUUCAGUGUGUUGCGUAGAUGCUUCAUUACAUGCUUAUACAGCUUCAAAACAUGCAGUGGUGGGGCUUGCCAAGAACUUGUGUGUGGAGUUGGGACAGUAUGGGAUAAGGGUUAAUAGUAUUUCCCCAUUUGGUGUCGCUACACCAAUGACUACAAAUGCUUUGAACAUGACGAAGAAGGAGGCUGAAGAGUUCAUUUCGUCAUCUGGAAAUUUGAAAGGGGCGGUUUUGGAGCCAGAAGAUAUUGCACAGGCAGCCUUGUACCUUGCGAGUGAGGAGUCCAAGUAUGUCAGUGGGAUCAACUUGGUGGUUGAUGGAGGCUAUGGUCUCACUAACCCCUCCUUUGGAAUGGCAAUGAAAAGCCUAUUUGCUUAAGAUAGCUGGUAUUUUAUCCAUGAAAUUCCAAAUAAUUAAGAUGGGCUCUUUCUGCUGUUCUUUUGCUUUAUAACGAAUCAGUUAAUUUAUGAGACAUAUCGUCCUUUCUUCGUGACAAAAUAAUUAUAAUGGAGACUGCAAGUUGGUUGGUGCCAG
rnacentral:misc_RNA from 1 species